UUCAUCAAGGCAUGGGCGGGAAGGGGGCGAUCUCCAGGGCAGGAUGGACGAGGCGGUGGGGCUCAUAGCAAGGAAAGGGAUCCAUCCCCAGGUGUGGCGCACAACAGCCUCUGCAUCCCUCCGAGCCAUGUGGGUCUCACCUCCCAACCAGUCUUAGAAGAGGCAGGAGGACUGCUGAAUGAAGCUCAGGUACAUCAGUGAAGAAUCCCGCAGCCAAAUGCCAGGAAGCAGACCCAGGACAGAAGGGCCUCAAUUCAAACCCCUUUUUUGAGUCUCUCUAUUUGACAGAAUCACCCCCAAAGGCACCACAUCCCCAGUUUCCUGUGGCCACUGCUGAAAGAUUCUCAGAAGAAACUCCAGGUCGGAAGAAACCACAAUAAGCCUAUAGGAAAACAAGAAAUGUCAACAUAACUGUCUUCAUAUGUGUUCAGCUGGAUCCCAUAAACUUCCUGGAUGCCUGUACUGUCAGUGAGCAGAAGAAAGUUCGUCCACCUGUCUUAAUUUUAAAGAAAUGCAGCUUUUAUAGAUGAUGGAAUACUUUGGGCUAAGAAGCACCAUGGUAUAUGGUUUAGUUUUCUAGUUAACCUGUCACUGAAAUUUAAUAAAUUAGUUCAUUGCCUCUUUCUUUACAUCAGUGAUAAAAUGAGAACAAUCCUUUACUAAAAAAUUUUAGACUCAUUAGGAUUGAUAGAUCUAUAGCAUUUGUACAAAAAAAUGACCUUUAAAAAUGGUA